UCCCGGGUGGCUUAGUGGUAAAGAAACUGCCUGCUAUUGCAGGAGACACGGGUUCGAUCCCUGAUCUAGGAA
rfam:TPA: Bos taurus chromosome 22, whole genome shotgun sequence.